AUUGAACGCUGGCGGCAGGCCUAACACAUGCAAGUCGAACGAGUGGCGGACGGGUGAGUACUGUCUGGGAAACUGCCCGCUGGAGGGGGGUAACUACUGGAAACGGUAGCUAAUACCGCAUAACAUCUGCUGUGCCCAGAUGGGAUUAGCUCGUAGGUGUGGUAACGGCUCACCUAGGCGACGAUCCCUAGCUGGUCUGAGAGGAUGACCAGCUGCACUGGAACUGAGACACGGUCCAGACUCCUCCGGUAGGCAGCAGUGGGGAAUAUUGCACAAUGGGCGCAAGCCUGAUGCAGCCAUGCCGCGUGUAUGAAGAAGGCCUUCGGGUUGUAAAGUACUUUCAGCGAGGAGGCGUUACUCGCAGAAGAAGCACCGGCUAACUCCGUGCCAGCCGCCGCGGUAAUUC
rnacentral:rRNA from 1 species